rnacentral:rRNA from 1 species
ACGGGUGAGUAACACGUGGGUGACCUGCCUCAGAGUGGGGGAUAACGACCCGAAAGGGUCGCUAAUACCGCAUAACAUCCUGCUUUUGGAUAAGCGGAGAUCAAAGCCGGGGAUCGCAAGACCUGGCGCUUAGAGAGGGGCCCGCGGCCGAUUAGCUAGUUGGUGAGGUAACGGCUCACCAAGGCAACGAUCGGUAUCCGGCCUGAGAGGGCGGACGGACACACUGGGACUGAGACACGGCCCAGACUCCUACGGGAGGCAGCAGUGGGGAAUUGUUCGCAAUGGGCGCAAGCCUGACGACGCAACGCCGCGUGGAGGACGAAGAUCUUCGGGUCGUAAACUCCUUUCGAUCGGGAAGAAUGUUCUCGGGCUGAAUAAUCCCGAGAAGUGACGGUACCGAGAGAAGAAGCCCCGGCUAACUCCGUGCCAGCAGCCGCGGUAAUACGGGGGGGGCAAGCGUUGUUCGGAAUUACUGGGCGUAAAGGGCGUGUAGGUGGCCAACUAAGUCCGACGUGAAAUCCCCAGGCUUAACCUGGGAACUGCGUCGGAUACUGGAUGGCUUGAAUUCGGGAGAGGGAUGCAGAA